UACGAAGGGGACUAGCGUUGUUCGGAAUUACUGGGCGUAAAGAGCUCGUAGGUGGUUUGUCGCGUUGUUCGUGAAAACUCACAGCUUAACUGUGGGCGUGCGGGCGAUACGGGCGGACUGGAGUACUGCAGGGGAGACUGGAAUUCCUGGUGUAGCGGUGGAAUGCGCAGAUAUCAGGAGGAACACCGGUGGCGAAGGCGGAUCUCUGGGCCUUACCUGACGCUCAGGUGCGAAAGCUAGGGGAGCGAACAGG
rnacentral:rRNA from 1 species